UACGUAGGGGGCAAGCGUUGUCCGGAUUUAUUGGGCGUAAAGAGCUCGUAGGUGGUUCGGUAAGUCGGAUGUGAAAUCUCCAGGCUCAACCUGGAGGGGUCAUUCGAUACUGCCGUGACUAGAGUUCGGUAGGGGAGUGUGGAAUUCCUGGUGGAGCGGUGAAAUGCGCAGAUAUCAGGAGGAACACCUGUGGCGAAAGCGGCGCACUGGACCACAUCUGACGCUGAGGCGCGAAAGCUAGGGGAGCAAACAGG
rnacentral:rRNA from 1 species